UUUCAAAAUAAAUAACGUCGAACAAUGCGUCGAACAUAUUCAUUCAACUAUGACAUAUGACGCAGGACGCUUGCAAGAGAGAUAGAUAUAUGUGUCAAAACAAAAACUUUUACUUUUAUUUCUAUUUAUUCGGUAUAAUUACGACUUAAUAGUGAUAAAUAUGAUCAUUAUAAAUACAAAUAGGAAUUAACAAUAUCACGAACACGUGACACAACUAGUAUUUUACCGAUUCCAUACGUGGUCAUACAUGUUUCAAAAGAAUAACUUUUAC